GCUCUCAGGACUACGGUGAAAAAGGAAAUAUCUUCCAAUAAAAGCUAGAUAGAAGCAAUGUCAGAAACUUUUUCAUGAUAUAUCUACUCAGCUAACAGAGUUCAACCUUUCUUUUGAGAGAGCAGUUUUGAAACACUCUUUUUGUGGAAUCUGCAAGUGGAUAUUUGUCUAGAUUUGAGGAUUUCGUUGGAAACGGGAUUACAUAUAAAAAGCAGACAGCAGCAUUCCCAGAAACUACUUUGUGAUGUUUGCAUUCAAGUCACAGAGUUGAACAUUCCCUUUCAUAGAGCAGGUUUGAAACACU
rnacentral:lncRNA from 10 species